AACAUGUGGCCCAUUGGCCAAUGAGGGAAUUGUUUCCCUGGGGUCUCCCAAAUUAACUUCUCAGCUUAGAGUUCACUACUUUGCGUACCCAUCCUCAAGUCAGCACCCUCAGCUUCUCAGGGAAUGAAUCCUUUAUGUAGGGACCAGGAUCUUGAGCUUUUAAGCAAUAUUUGAGAAAAUGAAGCAUUGGAUAUCGUGUAUUAGAGAUGCUGCUAAAUGCUUAGUGCAGUUAUGUGAAGGCCAUUUUACUACUGUGAUGACUAAUGUUGUAGGUUGACUUGAUUGUGUUAAGAGAGGCCAUGAAUGCACACUGGGUGUGUCUGUGAGGGAAUGAAGGACAUGUACUCCCACCAGCGUGAGUGGGCAGCAUCACAUCUGUGAAGUCUGAGUAGAACAAAGGGAUUCAAGAAGGGCACUUUGCUCUUUCAUUUGUGAGCUGGGACAUUUGGACAUGUGGGCUUCUGGUUCUUUAGCAGUGUGUUUAUAUCCCCCAUGCCCUGUCCAUUGGUUCUCAGACUCUGCUUUCUGAUGACAUAUUGCAGUACUGGGCAUCUCUGACUCUUCACUCCUGUGAAACUUUUACCGUGCACAUCUCCUACUAACUCUUUCUCUGGUCAACCCUGACUUCAUAGCUUCCCAUUUGACUUCAAACCAUUCAUGUUCAAGACGCAAGAGCAGGAAAGUCUUUGCUUCCAAGAAGCUCUUUGACUACAGACUGCAUCUUUGGCUUGCAGAAGCCAGUUCACUUCGGCAGAGUAUGCCAGCCUGAUCUUCUGAGAACAACAGGUAAGGACAGAAAUGAAGAUCCCAGUCCUUGCAAAUAUCUGCUGGGGACUGUGAGGCUCUCACAUACUAGCUGAUUUGGAUAUACCAAGAAUAAAACUUGCCUGCUUUUUA